ACUCUUUAUUCACUUCCGCCUUCGAUCACUAUCAGGUUGUCAUCGGCAUCAACUGUAAAUAUGUCUCACCAGACAGGAAUAUCAGCUUCUAAGGAUUUACAAGAUUUUUUCGGAACAGCCAAAGAUGGAAAAAUUCGCUGUAUUCAGGUUAAAAUAGAAAAAGAUCCAGUCUCCAAUGAAGAAAGCUUGGAACUUGGAGGAAGUAAAAAUGCUUUAAAUUCCUGGGAAGAUGAUUACGACUCUAUGGUGGUUCCCUAUCUGGAAGACAAACAACCCUGCUAUAUACUGUUUCGCCUCGACUCCACAAAUGCCCAGGGUUAUGAAUGGAUCUUCAUCUGUUGGUCCCCUGACUUUUCUGAGGUUCGAGACAAGAUGUUGUAUGCCGCGACACGAUCCACACUGAAACAGAACUUCGGGGGUGGCCAGAUCAAGGAGGAGUUAUUUGGAACUGUCGAGGCUGACUGUACCUUGUCUGGAUACAAAGUGCACAUGCUGGCCCAAAGUGCUCCCGCCCCCCUCACCAUGGCGGAAGAGGAACUACAGGAAAUCAAGAGGUCUGAGAUUAAGACGGCCGGCGUGGAUACCAAACACCAGACAUUGCAGGGCGUGGCCUUCCCUGUCACAGAUGAGGCAUUACAGAAAGUACAGGAGUUCACAGAGGGCCUCUACACCUAUAUCCAGCUGAGCUUGGACCUGACUGAGGAAAAGGUCAUCCUGGAGAAGGCAGUGAAUAUUCCUACCAGUGCCUUGUCAGAGCAGGUUCCUAUGGACCACGCUCGCUACCAUCUCUUUAACUUCAAACACACACACGAGGGGGACUACACAGAGAGUUAUGUUUUUAUAUACUCCAUGCCGGGUUACAAGUGUUCUAUCAAGGAGCGUAUGCUCUACUCCAGCUGUAAGUCUCCACUACUUGCGGUACUAGAGAGCCAUAUGCAAGUAGAGUUUGCCAAAAAGAUGGAAGUGGAUGACCCUAAAGAACUCGCUGAAAAAAAUCUUUAUGAAGAAGUACACCCAAUUAAAAAUAUUGUAAAGAGUGCCUUUGCCCGGCCCAAAGGCCCAUCAAGUCGGGGACCUAAGAGAAUGACGAGGAACAAAGAUGAACAAGAAGCUAGCUAAUUACAUAUUGUCCAUUUUAACAUAUCUUAAAUUGUAUUAUAUGGUUGCCAAUGUUUAAUUGUUAUAAGGACAAUUAUUGUUGGUGUUUUAAUAUUUAUAUCAACAAGUUCACUUUAUGUAAGAACAAGUCCCUCCUUUAAUGUUUAAUAUGCAAAUCAACCUUUGCUCAUUAUAAAUUUUAUUUGGUGGCUGUCCAUUUGGGCAAAUCGUGUGGAAUCAUGGCAUUGUUUUGCUUAAUAUGAAUACUAGGCCCCUUUCAUGUGUUCGGUUCAACCGGUUCUUCUGUUUUUUAUGUAACAUUUUUCGGGUAUAAAUCCUGGCGGACCUGCAAAUGUUUAUGCAGGCCUUGAAAGGCUUUGUAAAGGCUCGCCUGAAAACAGCAUCAGAUUACUAGGUCCGCCUUAUUUCAUAAACGAACAACUUUGGUCCAACCACUUCAACCGGUUGGAUCGUGAUUAACAUAAUUUUCCCCUAGGUACCCUGUUGAUUUUUUGGAAUAUUAUAAACGCAUUAGAGCUAUGGGAGAGUUUGUGAAUUUCAAAAUAUUUUAGUCUGCUGGCCGGAGAUGUUUUAUGGUGUCCUAGGGUUCUUUAAAGACCUUAUUUUGAUGCUAAAUAUUAUGGCAUGAUAACAGAGAUAUCUAAGCCAGUUGCCAUUAAAAAAAACAAUUCAGGUUAAGGAUAAAUGUUACCAUGCUCCAUGGCAUUUUACAGAAAAUUUUGUUAGGAGGCUUAAGUAUAAUAUUUUUACAGAAUGAGUUCCAGUUAUAGCAAACGAGUCCUAUGGCCUGUUCGUUCAUGCGAAACAAUCAGUUCGUCUGUUUUUGAAUGCAACAUUUCGGGUAUAAAUCCUGGCGGACCUACUAAACUUUAUGCAGGCCUUGCCUGAAAGCAGCAUCAGAUUACUAAAUCCGAUCUUAUUUCAUAAAUGAAUAACUCUGGUCCAACCGGGUCAACCGAAGCGGCCCAGGACUUGCAGAAAUCACUGACCAUGUGACUGAAUUGCAGGAGAAAACCAGGUCCACCUAUGUAGCCCCAUCUAUGCAAUGCCAUUAUGUACAGGCCAAACUCAUCUGGUUAUACGUCUUACAUUACAAUUUACUUUCACCUUUUUGUUGUACUUCAGUCAUUUUGGACCGAUUUCAUAAUUUUUCAUGGAAAUCUUUUCAAGUUAAAACCAAUAUCAGCAAGUUGUUUGUGAAUAAUUAAAAUGAAAACUUCUCGACUUCUUUUCUCUUAUGAUUCUUAUAUGAAUGGAAAUUCAUGUAAGAUUUGAAUUCAGAUGUUUUACUUAUCCAUAAGGAUUAUUUUGGUGUACAGACUUCAAUAAUUUCUUUUUGUGUCAAAGCAAACUUUUAAUUCCAUUCAACUGUUGUCUCUGGAAAUGUUCACCCUAUAGACAGCCAUCGUAUUAGAGCUUGUUAUUUUACAAGAUUUUGUGCUUGUUGAUGUAAGUUUGAGAUUAGCCGAAUUGUUUUUUUUGGAAUGAAAUGUAGCUGUUGUUAUAAGGUGUUUGUUUUUAAUGCAGGUGGCUAAGUGAUCGUCAAAUAUAAACAUGAAUUGUUUGUUUAUAGAUGAAGAUGAGUUUAUUUUGUAAAUUAGUCAUGUAAAAAGUCCUUGCUACAGUUUGUUGUAUAUAACUGAAAUUCACUUGUAUAGAGUUUAUUAUGCAAUAUGCAUGUUGCUCCUCUAUUAUGUUUGGGGUCAUUACACUGUGCAUAUUGUUGCCUACCCAUCACACGGAGUCACUGACCCGUACCACACGGACAUACCUAGCUUAGUUUUACCAGAGGAUGCCUGAAUUUCCGUCAGAAAACAAAUAUAUAUAUAUUUUCUCGGCACCUGAUAGUUAUAUUUUUCAAAAUUUAGAAUGAUUUAAUAAUUUAAACUGCAUUGGCAGCAGCCACAGGUGCCUGUGUGAUGACACGCGAGUUGUGAGCCCACUGUCCAGCUUAGCAACUCACUUUAAGGAAGCAACACACUUCAAGUUAAAGUAUAAUGAUCUUAUUAACUCACUGUAUAAAGAGAAACUCACCACUUGUCUAUUCCUAGAAUAAAAAUCAUUUAAAAGUGACUCUUAACGAGUGUGUCAUGGUAUUCCCAGCUUGUUAUUGCUAUAAGGAGUGACUCAUUAUGAGUUGAGGGAUAUUCCUACAUUGUUAGCUCCCUCUGUAAUGAGCCGUUAACAGAGUUAAGAUAUUGCCACAUGUUUAACUUACUCUUUAGAGAGUGACUGGCUUUGAGUCAUUGUAACACUACACAGUUGAGUUGCUCUAUAAUGAGUCCAGGGAUUCCCACAUUGUUAGCUCACUCUGUAAUGAGUCGUUAACAGAGUUAAGAUAUUGCCACAUGUUAAACUUGCUCUUUAGAGAGUGACUGGCUUUGAGGCAUUGUAACGCUACACAGUUGAGUUGCUCUAUAAUGAGUCCAGGGAUUCCCACAUUGAUAGCUCACUCUGUAAUGAGCCGUUAACAGAGUUAAGAUAUUGCCCCAUGUUUAACUCGCUCUUUAGAGAGUGACUGGCUUUGAGUCAUUGUAACGCUACACAGUUGAGUUGCUCUAUAAUGAGUCCAGGGAUUCCCACAUUGAUAGCUCACUCUGUAAUGAGCCGUUAACAGAGUUAAGAUAUUACCACAUGUUUAACUUGCUCUUUAGAGAGUGACUGGCUUUGAGGCAUUGUAACGCUACACAGUUGAGUUGCUCUAUAAUGAGUCCAGGGAUUCCCACAUUGAUAGCUCACUCUGUAAUGAGCCGUUAACAGAGUUAAGAUAUUACCACAUGUUUAACUUGCUCUUUAGAGAGUGACUGGCUUUGAGGCAUUGUAACGCUACACAGUUGAGUUGCUCUAUAAUGAGUCCAGGGAUUCCCACAUUGUUAGCUCACUCUGUAAUGAGCAGUUAACAGAGUUAAGAUAUUGCCACAUGUUAAACUUGCUCUUUAGAGAGUGACUGGCUUUGAGUCAUUGUAACGCUACACAGUUGAGUUGCUCUAUAAUGAGUCCAGGUAUUCCCACAUUUUUAGCUCACUCUGUAAUGAGCCGUUAACAGAGUUAAGAUAUUACCACAUGUUUAACUUGCUCUUUAGAGAGUGACUGGCUUUGAGGCAUUGUAACGCUACACAGUUGAGUUGCUCUAUAAUGAGUCCAGGUAUUUCCACAUUGUUCACUCAUUGAUUCAAGUUAUUGUUGCUCUGUUGAAUUGCUCCGAGUUACACUGUAGAGCUUCUUCGAGAUCUCCCUCUCCAUGUACGGUGCAUACUUGUCUCAACAGCAGUUUUGUUGUUUCUGCUACAUUGUUGUAUGUUAAUUUGUGUAUGAAGUUGAUUUUUUAUAUUAAUAGAGGGAUUGUUUUUGUUUUCUAACAGUGUAUGUUUUUAUACAUGUAUACUGAUGCCAUGGAGAUUGAACUAUAUGUACAUAUAUUUCUUUUUGUCAAGUUCAGCCCAAUAAGCAUACCAUCAGGAAUAUUUUGAUUUUGUUUUCUUCACGAGUGCUAAAGGUACAAAAUAUAUAUUAAACCCACAAGAUGAAUAUAAUAGAAAAGGCUAAUUAAAGGGUGCUUUGAGCUUACCUGGCUGGACUGGUGGUGUGCUACACCUGCUUUAAUGUCUCUGAGCUUAUUUGUGUAGAGGUAAAUAGUUCUUGACAGUUAUUUAUGAUGAUGUUAUGUUUCAGUGUCUGGUUAACACAUUCUUGUUUAAGUUUAACAUGUUAUACUGUAUACUGAGAAAUUUUCGCCUUUUCCGCCCUCCCUGAUGAGUCGAUUAAUCAUUACUGUGAACAUAAGUACACAACAUCAUACACAUAGUAAUUACAUGUGAAGGGCGAAAUUAACACGGGGAGAAUUAUGGAUUUGAUCUACGAAGGGUGAAAGCUUGACUGGGCGACAACUUCCUGGUAUACAGUAGUACCUGAUAGUUGCCAAAAUGAGCCUUGUUUCAUAUAAUUAUGAGACAAUUAAGGGGUGUGCUGAAAGUUUCAGUUGAGUAUUCAUAUAUAUAAGUUACAUAAAAAUCGUAAAUACAAAUAAUUGAACUGAAUUUUUGAAAAAUGUAAACUUUGAAAUAUUUCAAGCAAAUAUUUUCAAUGCAUGAAUUAGUAUUUCAAGAAUUUCAGUGUCAGAAUGAGUGUGAUAUCGAGUUUAAGUCUAGUGUAUUGUGUUCUACACUUGGAACUUUUGUAUUGGAUACCGUAGCUACUGUUACAUGUUUUAAAGUUUUAUAAAAACAGUUUAUAGUAAGAUGUGAAAAAAAAGCUUUCUAAACAUGCAGUUACUUAAAGAAUGUGUGUGAGUGAAAGGUAGACAAUUUGUUUUAUAUCCAUGAAAGGUUAUUGCACUGGGUUUAGUAAAUGCUAGUUUCAACAAUGAAUGUAAAAAUAAAAUCAUUUUCAGACUUAGGAUGAAAUUAUCACUGUUGGAUAUAUGUCUUUUUCUGGGACCUAUUGAGAAGCUAGGUUUGGAAUUAAAUGAUUUUAGUAGUGAUUUAAAGUGAUCUUGUAAGAAAUGUACACAAACAUGUAUAUAUGUUUAAUAUAUAAUUUUUGGAAGUUUAACACUGCAGUGUAUAUUUAAUAACACAUAUCUAAUCUAUUAGGCAUGUAUCCUUGUACCUGUAUUACCAUACUAUACAAUAUAAACAUGACUUUUCCUGUAAUGCCUGCUUGAGAAUAAUGAAAUGGCUUGUCAGAUAGUCUGAUAUCCUCCAACUCAUAUCAGUUCUUAACUUCUGUAGAUAUUAGGUGAUACCCUAACAGGCAGGUAUAACCACUGGGAGGAUACCAGGAGUGUAUCCAGGACUUCUAAAUCCCUCCUCCAAACACAUUUUUUAAGUGAGGAGGAGAUUCACCUUACCAAAAAGUAAUUUGGGAGGCUGAAACCUCCAUGUAGAUCAAGCAAUAAUAUCAUCUUCCGGGAGAGAAGGUAUUACUAAUGGGAACACUUGAGGAUUUAUCAAAAUAUAAAACUUAUAAUAUACUCCGGCAUUACUGAUCUUUGAACGACUGCCAUUUCCAUUGUUGAUCAGGGCCAUAAACAAAUAAGGAACAUUUUUAGCCAGCGUGAUGUGUGUAUGCUUGUGGGAAUGUUUGUCUAUUGAAAGUAUGUGAUGAUUACUGAUAAAUAGGAAAAUAAAACUAUUAAAACAUCUCAGGAUAAACCAAA
rnacentral:misc_RNA from 1 species